UAGAGUUUGAUCCUGGCUCAGGAUGAACGCUAGCGGCAGGCUUAACACAUGCAAGUCGAGGGGCAUCGGGAGGGAAGCUUGCUUUCCUUGCCGGCGACCGGCGCACGGGUGAGUAACACGUAUGCAACCUGCCCUCUUCAGGGGGACAACCUUCCGAAAGGGAGGCUAAUCCCGCGUAUAUCGGUUUCGGGCAUCCGUUAUCGAGGAAAGAUUCAUCGGAAGAGGAUGGGCAUGCGGCGCAUUAGCUAGACGGCGGGGUAACGGCCCACCGUGGCGACGAUGCGUAGGGGUUCUGAGAGGAAGGUCCCCCACACUGGUACUGAGACACGGACCACACUCCUACGGGAGGCAGCAGUGAGGAAUAUUGGUCAAUGGGAGAGAUCCUGAACCAGCCAAGCCGCGUGAGGGAAGACGGCCCUAUGGGUUGUAGCCCUCUUUUGUCGGAGAACAAAACCCGGGACGUGUCCCGGACUGCGUGUAUCCGAAGAAAAAGCAUCGGCUAACUCCGUGCCACCAGCCGCGGUAAUACGGAGGAUGCGAGCGUUAUCCGGAUUUAUUGGGUUUAAAGGGUGC
rnacentral:rRNA from 1 species